rnacentral:rRNA from 1 species
UACGAAGGGGGCUAGCGUUGCUCGGAAUCACUGGGCGUAAAGCGCACGUAGGCGGUUUGUUAAGUCAGGGGUGAAAUCCUGGAGCUCAACUCCAGAACUGCCUUUGAUACUGGCGAUCUCGAGUCCGGGAGAGGUGAGUGGAACUGCGAGUGUAGAGGUGAAAUUCGUAGAUAUUCGCAAGAACACCAGUGGCGAAGGCGGCUCACUGGCCCGGUACUGACGCUGAGGUGCGAAAGCGUGGGGAGCAAACAGG